GGGCUGUUAGCUCAGUUGGCUAGAGCGCCACAUUUGCAAUGUGGAGGUCGAGGGUUCAACUCCCUCACAGUCCACCA
rnacentral:tRNA from 1 species